rnacentral:lncRNA from 1 species
GAGCAGAAUGUGUUCAAAAGUGGAUGUUUUGGGCGUGAUUUCAGCUUGGAGUGUCUGUUUGGGGUAGCUGUGGGGCACAAGCCAUGGUACCUUGAUGGGUAAAGUAUCCCCAGCCCAUGCGUGUGUUUCAUGAGGCUGUUUCCUUCGGUGCUGUCUGCUCCCUCCACGCAGCUUCUUGCUAAUGAAUCUCUGCAUCUUACCUAGGAGACAGACCCAUGCUGGUGCAGCAUCAGCCAGGCUUUGGGUGGUACCCGGGAUGCCCAGUGAGAGAAGGGCAGUCACGCUGGAGCGGAAACCCAAAUGCAAUUGCGCCUGUGAAGCUGUGAGGAGCUCGCCUGGAUGAGGAGGAGACAGACUGCUUCGCUCUCUGCAGAAGGUGACUGGCUCUUUUAGGCAGAAGGUGCUGGCCCCUGGUUGCUGCAGGAGCAGCCACCUCCAUCAGCGCUGCAUGUCCAGCUCAAGGCUGAAGAGACCUGGCCUGGUGGCCCUAUUGCCCGACCUACACAGCCGUGUGGCUUUUCAGACUGUGUUUAUGAAGGAUGUGGUGGAGGCUCCUUUGUGACGCACUGGCGGGGAGGAGGAGGAGGGAGCUGCUGCGUCAUCUUCACGCAGUGGAUGGCACUGGUGUCCUCUCACUCCAAGUACCCACUGGUGGGGAGAAGCACUGGCAGAAAUCCUUGUCCUACAAGCCCAGCUGGCAGGUGGAGGCAGAUAUAUCUGGACGAGAUGCUCCUCUGCAAGGAGGAAAUCAGGAUGUGAUGGCCUUGUCCAUAGGAUCUCCUUGCUGCUGGUGCCCACACCAAAAUUUAGCCUGGCAAAAGUCUUUUCCCAGGUGA